rnacentral:rRNA from 1 species
AACGAACGCUGGCGGCAGGCCUAACACAUGCAAGUCGAACGACACCUUCGUGUCUGGUGGCGCACGCGUGCGUAACGCGGGGGAACGUGCCCGUAUGUACGGGAUAACACCUUGACGUGGGGGCUAAUACCGGAUAAUUUCCUCUGACAAAAGAUUUAUCGUCUUGGGGUGGGCACGCGUUGGUUUAGCUAGUUGCGAGUGAAAGAGCCUACCAAGGCUACGAUCCAUAGCGGGUCUGAGAGGAUGAUCCGCGACACUGGGACUGAGACACGGCGGAGAAUCCUACGCGAGGCAGCAGUGGGGAAUCCUGGCAUACCGGGGGAAUCCUGAUCCAGCUAUGCCGCGUGAGCGAUGAAGGCCUUAGGGUUGUAAAGCUCUUUUAUACGGGACGAUAAUGACGGUACCCGAAGAAUAAGCACCGGCUAACUCCGUG